GCCUAGUUAGCGUCAAGGGUAGCGCGUCUGCCUUGUAAGCGCUAGGUCGUGGAUUCGAAUCCCGCCCGGGGCG
rfam:Asian citrus Psyllid, Diaphorina citri - Florida Strain, whole genome shotgun sequence.